CCUACGGGAGGCAGCAGUGAGGAAUAUUGGUCAAUGGUCGGGAGACUGAACCAGCCAAGCCGCGUGAGGGAUGAAGGUACAGAGUAUCGUAAACCUCUUUUGUCAGGGAACAAAGGCGGGGACGCGUCCCCGGAUGAGUGUACCUGAAGAAAAAGCAUCGGCUAACUCCGUGCCAGCAGCCGCGGUAAUACGGAGGAUGCGAGCGUUAACCGGAUUUAUUGGGUUUAAGGGGUGCGAAGGCGGUCGGUUAAGUCCGCGGUCAAAGCCAGGGGCUCAACCCCGGCCCGCCGUUGAAACUGGCAGGCUCGAGUUGGAGAGAAGUAUGCGGAAUGCGCGGUGUAGCGGUGAAAUGCAUAGAUAUCGCGCAGAACUCCGAUUGCGAAGGCAGCAUGCCGGCUCCACACUGACGCUGAGGCACGAAAGCGUGGGUAUCGAACAGGAUUAGAUACCCGAGUAGUC
rnacentral:rRNA from 1 species